rnacentral:rRNA from 1 species
AGAGUUUGAUCCUGGCUCAGAUUGAACGCUGGCGGUAUGCUUAACACAUGCAAGUCGAACGGAAACGAAACUAGCUUGCUAGUAGGCGUCGAGUGGCGGACGGGUGAGUAACGCGUAGGAAUCUGCCUGAUAGUGGGGGAUAGCCCGAAGAAAUUCGGAUUAAUACCGCAUAAUCUAUUCGUAGUAAAGUGGGGGACUUUCGAGCCUCACGCUAUCAGAUGAGCCUGCGUAAGAUUAGCUUGUUGGUAGGGUAAAAGCCUACCAAGGCAACGAUCUUUAGCUGGUCUGAGAGGAUGAUCAGCCACAUCGGGACUGAGACACGGCCCGAACUCCUACGGGAGGCAGCAGUGGGGAAUAUUGGACAAUGGGGGCAACCCUGAUCCAGCAAUACCGCGUGUGUGAAGAAGGCCUGAGGGUUGUAAAGCACUUUCAAUUGUGAAGAAAAGUUAACGGUUAAUAACCGUUGACCUUGACGUUAACUUUAGAAGAAGCACCGGCUAACUCCGUGCCAGCAGCCGCGGUAAUACGGAGGGUGCAAGCGUUAAUCGGAAUUACUGGGCGUAAAGCGUGCGUAGGCGGUUUAUUAAGUCAGAUGUGAAAGCCCCGGGCUUAACCUGGGAACUGCAUUUGAAACUGGUCAACUAGAGUAUGGUAGAGGAAAGUGGAAUUUCUGGUGUAGCGGUGAAAUGCGUAGAUAUCAGAAGGAACAUCAAUGGCGAAGGCAGCUUUCUGGACCAAUACUGACGCUGAGGUACGAAAGCGUGGGUAGCAAACAGGAUUAGAUACCCUGGUAGUCCACGCCGUAAACGAUGAUAACUAGCCGUUGGGGGGAUUUACCCCUUAGUGGCGAAGCUAACGCGUUAAGUUAUCCGCCUGGGGAGUACGGCCGCAAGGCUAAAACUCAAAGGAAUUGACGGGGACCCGCACAAGCGGUGGAGCAUGUGGUUUAAUUCGAUGCAACGCGAAGAACCUUACCUGGUCUUGACAUCCUGCGAACUUUCUAGAAAUAGAUUGGUGCCUUCGGGAACGCAGUGACAGGUGCUGCAUGGCUGUCGUCAGCUCGUGUCGUGAGAUGUUGGGUUAAGUCCCGUAACGAGCGCAACCCCUAUCCUUAUUUGCCAGCACAUUAUGGUGGGAACUAUAAGGAGACUGCCGGUGAUAAACCGGAGGAAGGCGGGGACGACGUCAAGUCAUCAUGGCCCUUACGACCAGGGCUACACACGUGCUACAAUGGGAAGGACAAAGAGCCGCGAAGCCGCGAGGUGUAGCUAAUCUCAUAAAUCUUUUCGUAGUCCGGAUUGGAGUCUGCAACUCGACUCCAUGAAGUCGGAAUCGCUAGUAAUCGUAGAUCAGAAUGCUACGGUGAAUACGUUCCCGGGUCUUGUACACACCGCCCGUCAUACCAUGGGAGUGGGUUGCACCAGAAGUGGCUAGUCUAACUUAGUGAGGACGGUCACCACGGUGUGAUUCAUGACUGGGGUAAAGUCGUAACAAGGUAACC